GUCACGUGUCGAGAGCUAUUAUCCUAGUGUGGAAAUGUUGUCUAAUAACAGAAGUCGCAGAAUCUGAUAGACAUUGUUAGAACAAGAAUCUUGACUUUGGGAAUUUGAUGGGCCUUGAGUCUAUUUUAAACGACAAAAACACUUGUGUAAUACAGUUGACAGAAGAAUUACAAUAUUUGGUGUGCAAGAUUGAUAAAGUAUUUGAUCACUUUCUUUUGGCAUCUUUCUUUCACUGAUGUAAUAAGUCAUCAAAAAACCUCGACUUGAAAGGUUGUCAUGUCGAGGCUGAACAACGCCAGUAGUUCGUUUCCAAGUGCUCAGUAUUUGCACGGUCAUGUAGACAAGCAGUAACGUCUUAUAGGCUGACUUCACAACGAGACUUCUAGAACUUUACAGAUAGUUUAGACAUAUAAUAAGCUGCGUUUGGGAGAAAUACACUUGAAGUAUUAGUGAAAAACUUUAUAUAUUAUAGUAAGUAAGAGAUAUUUUUGGGAAAAGCUGUUUUCUUCGACUAUGAUAAAAACUAUUCACUAUCUUAACACAACAUGAGCCAGCUUGCACUAGUACCACAUGUACAUAUUGCCGCUAUUCGCACUUCCUGGCCGGUGUCCGUUGUUUGGCUUCUUCUGUCCUGUAUAGUCACAAUGUUCUGCACCAUAAGCUCCGUCCAUCCUGAAUGGUACGUUCGAACUGACCCCUUAAAUGACAGUUAUCUACAGUAUAACCGGGGAUCAGUUUUAUAUAUGUUAGGCUUAGUAGGUGUGUGUUACCGUUGGCACCAAACUUCUUGUCAUACUUUUGGCGUAAACUUUCCGUCUACAGCUUGGCAAGUGGCUUGCGUUUUAUAUGUAAGCGGUUGUGUAUUAAUGUAUUGUUGUGUUGUAUUAAUUGUGUUUUGUUUUUGCGCAUUUGGACAACGACAACGACAGGCAACUGUGUGGUGUAUCGUCUAUAUUCAGUCAGCAGCAGUUUUGUUCCAGACCAUGGCUCUGUUGCUCUAUCCAUUUAUUCUGACUACUCACUUUAUGCGCUUACACUGUGGGCCGCAAAUCAACGUGUUUCAGUCCGCCACCUGUCGUCUUGGUUGGGCCUAUAUGAUGGCCAUCACAGGAACUGUGUUAGGUUUCUACUGCCCACUUCUUGGAAAAUAUUCCUCGUAUAAUGUGUAUAGAUCUCACCAUGCGAAAUACACCAAUUCAUCCAAGACAUUCAUCAGUGACCUGCCCCUCUAAUCUUUUUGUUCAUCAGUAACACUUAUUUUGAAAAUCUUCUUAAAAUACGCUAUUUUCACAGAACAUAUUUUACAAACUUUCUGUGUAUUUAAACGCUAAACAGCAGUUUCAAGGGGGUUUUCUUUGAAGUUUGAAGUAUUUUUUAUCAUAAAGAGGGAACAUUAUCUCUUCUCGAGAAAAAAAAAGAAAUAUUCGCUAAACAAUUAGUACAGUAUUAAAACAAAGAAUAAUUUGAGCGUUUGUCCUCUUCAUAGCAUCCAGUAUUAAGCUGGAUUUCCUUCAUUACUGUGUUAUGCAUGUUUCUAAAGUAUUGUUGAAGUAAUAGUUUUAAUUUAUUAUUCUAGUGAUAAAGUUUUCAUUACUGAACAUACUACAAUUAUCGUUCAUUCUUAAAAACAAUCAAUCUACUUGAUUAGUCGAAAUAAGUGAAUUUAUUUAAAAAAGACAGGUAUGUUUACGUUAUGUUUUCCCAAUAAACAGACAAAUAAGUCCACUUGAAAGAGGAGUUAAUUCUUAGGUAAAGAAAAUAAGAAUAAAAACAACAGGUUAAAAUACUUUUAUUUACUUUCCAGGUUAUUGAGCAACUAAUGCCUGCGUUCAACGUUCGCCUUGUAGCUUAACUAAAGACCCAAUAUCUCUAAGACGAUCCACUCCCCAUCUCUACAAACGUAACAAAAUUUGAACAGCGUCAGCUGGCAGCUGGUUUGAUAGUACUUACCAAACCGCCUAUUCAACUGCAAACUUUAUCACACGUUUAAGAGUUUAAUAAUUUACAUUUAGAUAUGUUUCUAUUCUUCCUUUGGAUAUGAGAUCAUAUUAAAGAGUCAAAUAGUCCGAUGUUUGUGUGAUGUUAACGCUUUAGGUGGCGUAUCGUGGAGGCACAAUUUAAAGAGCAUCUUAAACGAAUAAAGAAAACCAGUUCAGCAUCUACCAACAUUGCAACAACAUGUGUGACGUGACCGUUAAUGGCAAGACUUCAGCAUUCUCUUCUCAGCGGAGAAUGAAAUCAACCUUGGGAUAAAGGAGUCUUUACUCUUCACACAACUGAAACCAGAACUAAACGAUAAUUACUGUUUAUCACACAAAUACAUCAAAACUGGGAAUUAUGUGACUCCCAUUGUUAACUUUCGUUCAUACAAACAGCAAGCGUAUUAUACGCUUAUACAUACAUAGUAACCUCCUUGAGCAGUAGCCAGUAACAGCAGUACAAGUGCUUCCUAUCAAACCUCCCGCUAGGAGCGCUGUGGUUAGCCAGAUUACACUUUUCGGGCAGAGGGACCGUCUUAGCGAUAUAGUGUCUUUGACUUAACUCUUACAUACGUUCCGAUCGGUGCUUAUUCUGAAACAUAUUCUCGUGACAGUAAAAGGAAGAGAAAUGUCCCAUCCACACGCACCUGAGAAACAGCUAAUUAACUUCACACAACCCAAUAUCCAAAAAAUUUAAAA